rnacentral:lncRNA from 1 species
AUGCUGCUGUUGCUGCUGGCGCAGUUGUUGCUGCUGUUGAAACUGAGCUAUGUUCUACUACACAAGACCAGGUUUAAGUAAAAAAACGAGGACUACGCCAAACUUAAGCAACUGGGUAAUGAAAAAUAGGUGUACUUACAGGAAAUAUACAUAGCAACCAAGUGGAUUUAGCCCUAGGGAAUCUAAGAUAGUUACAGAUUUGCAUUCUGACUACAAACUAGGUACAUUAACAGACAACGUUGCACUGCAUUACGCGAAAACUAUGUAGUUUCAAGUAGCUAAUAGAAGGUUAUCAACAGAGAAUCAGGACGUCACCAUCUGUUGUUUCAGAAACAAAAACCGUAGAAGCUAGCUGAAGGAAAUAUAAUGAAGUGUGUGAAGCCUACAGGAAAUAUCUAAUAAAUAGCUAAUAGAAGGUUAUCAACAGAGAAUCAGGACGUCACCAUCUGUUGUUUCAGAAACAAAAACCGUAGAAGCUAGCUGAAGGAAAUAUAAUGAAGUGUGUGAAGCCUACAGGAAAUAUCUAAUAAAUAAACAAAAUACAAUAACUGGAUGAUAAAAAAUAAUAAGUUUUAAAUGAAAAUAACGCACCUUA